rnacentral:rRNA from 1 species
UACAGAGGUCUCAAGCGUUGUCCGGAUUCAUUGGGCGUAAAGGGUGCGUAGGUGGCGGGGUAAGUCAGGUGUGAAAUUUCGGAGCUUAACUCCGAAACUGCAUUUGAUACUGCCUUGCUUGAGGACUGGAGAGGAGACUGGAAUUCAUGGUGUAGCAGUGAAAUGCGUAGAGAUCAUGAGGAAGACCAGUGGCGAAGGCGGGUCUCUGGACAGUUCCUGACACUGAGACACGAAGGCCAGGGGAGCAAACGGG